GUCGGAAUGGCCGAGUGGUCUAAGGCGUGUGACUUGAAAUCACAUCUCUUCGGAGGCACAGGUUCGAACCCUGUUUCCGACG
rnacentral:tRNA from 1 species